GAGGCCGGGUGCGGUGGCUCACGCCUGUAAUCCCAGCACUUUGGGAGGCCGAGGCGGGCAGAUCACGAGGUCAGGAGUUCGAGAUCAGCCUGGCCAAUACAGUGAAACCCCGUCUCUACUAAAAAUACAAAAAGUAGCUGGGCAUGGUGGCACGUGCCUGUAAUCCCAGCUACUCAGGAGGCUGAGGCAGGAGAAUCGUUUGAACCAGGGAGUUGGAGGUUGCAGUGAGCUGAGAUCGCGCCACGUCUCAAAAAAAAGUAGAGCAAGAAUGAAGAAACAGAAUUGCUAAACAUUAGUAAUAUGAUAAUAACAAUAAAACCACCCACAAUGAUAAUGUAUUUAGAGAACACUUGCUAACUGGUCUAGCAGAAAAUGAAUUAUAACAGUUUUGCAGAAUUUAUAACCUCUUCCACCUAGAAAUAAAGAACCACGUGUAACAGAAUGGGGAGCCUCCGGAGGGCUAGAUCCAUUAGGAUGGAAGUGGGGCCGCUUGGCUGCUGUCUGUGUGCCAGCACAGGUGACCACAAACUGCUGACAGCAAGGCAGUAAUUUUAGGAGGCGCACUGCACACUCUCCAGGGGGCACGCCAUGCAAAUCUCCUUCUGGGCCAAUGCACAUGGUUGCUGCCACAGGUUUACCAGAUGCAAUCAAGGUUUCAACUGCCCACACAGCUUCUUCAACGUGUUCAAAAUACUGGAAUCAGUUAAGCUAAGGUAUGAAGGUGUCUGACUCACUCCUCCUGCUACCAAAGCAUCACCUUCAUCAGCCACUUGUCGGGCGAUGUCGCAAGCAGCUUCAUUGACUUUCUGCCCCUAAAAUGGAUAUCUUCUCUAAGACAUAGUUGCCCCUGUUCUCCAGCUUGUCUUCACUCGCAUAGAAGGUGAAGGUCUGCAUGAUGUUUGAGCCAGCUCUGAGGAACUCUCGAUGAAGCUGACGAACUGGGAGAGUGAAUGAGGAAAGAACACGUUAAAGAGUAUUUGAAGAACACCAUGGGAGGUGUGUUUGAAGAACUAUCUGCUGAGGGAUUAAAUGAAAAGAUUUUGUUGUAAAGCCUCAAAUCUGCACUUAAGCACAGAUUCUUAAAAUGAGACAGCGUCUCACUAUGUGCCCAGAGGAACUUGAACUCCUGGGCUCAGAAGAUCCUCCGGUCUCACCCUCCCAGCAGCCGAAACUACAGGCUCGUGCCACAGUGCCCAGCCAUGCUAUUAAGCCAUUUUAUUUUAAGACUGAAAAGGUGGCCAAAUCACUCAAAGACUUCCAUCUUUGGUGUUAAAAUUCAGUUUCCACAACAGUAGCUAUGCUAUACAGUCCAGGUUAUGAGUGUGCACAUGCUGUACUCUAUGAUGAGAACAAGGAAGAGACAACUAAAUAAUUUGUUGAAUGAUUUUUCAGCCCAAUCUCCAUACUUAUUCCAUUUACAAUACUGUGCAGUAAUCACCCUGGUGUUGUUCUAUGGAAAAAUUUGGAAUUAAGUAUUUUGAAAGGGUUUUGUGAAUUACAAAGUAACUCUGUAGUUUAAUAGAUUUUUUGUAAUUUCAAAGAAUCAUAGACUUUAAAAAUAAAUAGUACUCAAUUCAA